AGGAUGAACGCUGGCGGCGUGCUUAAUACAUGCAAGUCGAGCGGUAAGGCCCCUUCGGGGGUACACGAGCGGCGGACGGCUGAGUAACGCGUGGGAACGUACCCCAAAGUGAGGGAUAAGCACCAGAAAUGGUGUCUAAUACCGCAUGUGCUCUAAGGAGUAAAGCUCCGGCGCUUUGGGAACGGCCUGCGUUCGAUUAGCUUGUUGGUGAGGUAAUGGCUCACCAAGGCGACGAUCGAUAGCUGGUCUGAGAGGAUGACCAGCCAGACUGGGACUGAGAACGGCCCAGACUCCUACGGGAGGCAGCAGUAGGGAAUUUUCCACAAUGGACGAAA
rnacentral:rRNA from 1 species